UCGACGGACUCUACUACAGCUACCAGGGCAACUGCACCUACGUGCUGGUGGAGGAGAUCAGCCCCUCCGUGGACAACUUCGGAGUUUACAUCGACAACUACCACUGCGAUCCCAACGACAAGGUGUCCUGCCCCCGCACCCUCAUCGUGCGCCACGAGACCCAGGAGGUGCUGAUCAAGACCGUGCAUAUGAUGCCCAUGCAGGUGCAGUGCAGGUGAACAGGCAGGCGGUGGCACUGCCCUACAAGAAGUACGGGCUGGAGGUGUACCAGUCUGGCAUCAACUACGUGGUGGACAUCCCCGAGCUGGGUGUCCUCGUCUCCUACAAUGGCCUGUCCUUCUCCGUCAGGCUGCCCUACCACCGGUUUGGCAACAACACCAAGGGCCAGUGU
rnacentral:lncRNA from 1 species